GAUGAACGCUGGCGGCGUGCCUAAUACAUGCAAGUCGAGCGAACAGACGAGGAGCUUGCUCCUCUGACGUUAGCGGCGGACGGGUGAGUAACACGUGGAUAACCUACCUAUAAGACUGGGAUAACUUCGGGAAACCGGAGCUAAUACCGGAUAAUAUAUUGAACCGCAUGGUUCAAUAGUGAAAGACGGUUUUGCUGUCACUUAUAGAUGGAUCCGCGCCGCAUUAGCUAGUUGGUAAGGUAACGGCUUACCAAGGCAACGAUGCGUAGCCGACCUGAGAGGGUGAUCGGCCACACUGGAACUGAGACACGGUCCAGACUCCUACGGGAGGCAGCAGUAGGGAAUCUUCCGCAAUGGGCGAAAGCCUGACGGAGCAACGCCGCGUGAGUGAUGAAGGUCUUCGGAUCGUAAAACUCUGUUAUUAGGGAAGAACAAAUGUGUAAGUAACUAUGCACGUCUUGACGGUACCUAAACAGAAAGCCACGGCUAACUACGUG
rnacentral:rRNA from 1 species